UGGGGAAUAUUGCACAAUGGGCGAAAGCCUGAUGCAGCGACGCCGCGUGAGGGAUGACGGCCUUCGGGUUGUAAACCUCUUUCAGCAGGGAAGAAGCGAAAAUGACGGUACCUACAGAAGAAGCCCCGGCCAACUACGUGCCAGCAGCCGCGGUAACACGUAGGGGGCAAGCGUUGUCCGGAUUUAUUGGGCGUAAAGAGCUCGUAGGCGGUUUCGUAAGUCGGAUGUGAAAACUCCAGGCUCAACUUGGAGACGCCAUUCGAUACUGCGAUGACUUGAGUCCGGUAGGGGGUGUGGAAUUCCUGGUGUAGCGGUGAAAUGCGCAGAUAUCAGGAGGAACACCGGCGGCGAAGGCGGCACUCUGGGCCAGUACUGACGCUGAGGAGCGAAAGCGUGGGUAGCAAA
rnacentral:rRNA from 1 species